rnacentral:lncRNA from 1 species
GUUUCUUUUGAUGUGCUGAGAGAUCUGACAACAAUUUCCUUUUGGUAAUAACCAGCAGGACCUGAGUAACGGCUGCAUCCCUGAGGUUGAGCAGACAUACUCACCACAUACUUGGCCAGCUUCAUACCAAAGGUUCUUCAGCCUGGUUCCCAAAAGCAUUCAAGUUUGCUUCCUGAAUUCAAAAGUUCCCAGAAGCUUGUCAAGUGGACCUUCGGACCAACACUUGUAAGGCUGAUGUCCAUCUUGACCAGCACCCAGUGCAGCAGUUUGAAGUGUCGUUGACCAAGGCACCCUGCCAUCAGAAAGGGCUGCAUUCGCCCACCAGACUAUAGACGAACUGAUGCUUCUGUCAGAACAGAGAGAUGGCGAACCCUUCAUCAAGUCAUCAUCUACCAAACACCCACCACUUGGUGCCUCAGAUUUUCUUCACAGCCACUUCCUUCUUUCUCUUUAACGUCCACAUCUUUUCCUCUUUGUUGUGUUUAAAUGCAGAUGAUACAGAAUGAAAUUCCUUUGGCGUCUGUGUGCGGGAGUGCACAAAGGUAUUUAUGAAUCCUAAAUGAAGCUGGCUGCAGAGCCAAGGAGUUCCAGCAGAGCGCCGGCGUGCGUGCCCGCCGGAGUCUGAUCUUUUACACGGGAAGCUGCAUUUGAUAUCUCAUUUGUUGGCUGUGUUCCUCACAAAGCCGAGUGUUGUUUAACCCACUUUGCCAUAACAGAAGAAAACUCAGAAGACGAUGGCUGGGUAAGCGGAAGAUGAUCCUACAGACAGGGCCUGAAAUGGUCAGCGAAGGCUUCCAGGGCACGUGGGACAUACUGCCACCUUCUGGCUGGGUGUGGCCCACACUGCGGAGCUCGUGGGUGACCCGGAGAGGACUUCCCUGCCUCCAAAUCACCCAGGGGUUCCAGAAUUGCAGCCUGCACCUUGGGAACCCAGUCACCACAGAGGGAAAAUUUGGAGGACAAAAAUCAGAGAAUAUUCUUCCAAAGGAUGACAGUGGAUUUGAGGGGCCCAAGAUGAUCAAGAAGAGGGGCCUGGGUCUUCAGCCUGUCCCUGCCUGGCUGUGUCCUCUUCUGAGUCCACCUGGCAAAGGUAUGUGUGGUCUGUCUCUAGAAUUGAGGUAGGAACAACUGAGAUUCUAUUUGUGAACAUGUUUUCCUUAUGACCCUCCCACUGGAAAGCUCCAAUCUCUGGAAGUUGCUUUGAGAACUUUGAGAAUCAAGGCACGGGGCACCCACAGCAGAACUGAGAAUUAACACCUCCUUCUACAAACAAGGAAAUGGAAGCCCAGAGAGGGAAAGUAAUUUGCUCAGGAGUCACACAGCAAUUUUUUAUCUUUACCAAACUGUCUAAAGCCCAAGUAGGCCUGUCCACAGCUACUGAAAAUCACUGCGGGUGUCAGGCUUAGGGCAGGGAGGUGGGGUUGAAUCUGCCUUGCCGGGUCCCCAGCUCCAGGCUCAGGGCCAGGCUUGGGAAAAGUGUGUCUUCUGGGGCUCCGUGAGUCCUUGACCAGGACUUGGGCACAAUGCAAGCAGGACAACAAUAGGCAGUAUGUGAGAGAGCUCAGCCGGAGAGGGGUAUUGAUCAUGUUUAAAAAAAGAAACACACUAAGGAGCACAGAAAAACUUUACCAAUGCACCAGCUGGCUUAGCUAAUUAGUGAGGGUGAGCUGUGUCAGCCCCCUGCUCUGAGCCAGGGAGCAAACAACUCGCUCAACAAAUGGAACAGCUAAGGAGGAACAAAAAGCAAACGGCCACUGUCCCCUCAACUCCAGAGACUCUGUGCUGCCCAGAGAAGGGGGAUGUGAUGGGAAGGGAGUGACACAGACAGGAACUGGAGUGGGGAGUGGAGGAGAGGACAGGGACGGGCCCAGGUGGAGCCUCCCUGGGUCAAGAGAGAGGUGGCGUUUAGCAGUGAGGAGGAGGUGUCGGACGACCGGGGUGGAGCUGCACCUUCUUUCCACAGGAAGGACCUCACCGGCCCUGGAAGCACUGGCUUUGGUCUUGCCCCUAUUUGGGCAGUCAUUUGUCAUUAGGAGUCUUGCUCUGGGAUAUUCGUAACCACGGUGGGGAAGGUGGGGGGCAGCCUCUUCUUAGAGCCUGGAGACUGGCCUUGGGGAGGAGGCCUGAGCCAACGCAAGGCUAGGCACUCUGGGUGGAGGGCUUACUCUGAGCACAGUCCUGUCAGGUGAGAGCGUGUGCAGUAGGAAGGGGUGUGGACAACUGGAGGUACCUGGGUCUGGUCAGGGAAAGUGGCCCAUGGGCCGUCUGGCCUGGAACACGAGAGUGAUGAGUCCUGUCGGGGAAAGGGGUGAGCAGGGGGAGGGACCACUGGACAGUUUUGGCUCCUCAAGCGAGGGAUUCAGGCUGUUUGGGUUCAGGCAUGGAGUAACGAAAAUGAACAGAAGAAAAGGGAGAUAGAAGGAAAGAAAGAAAAGAAAAAAAGGAGGGAGGAGUAAAAAUGGAGGGGAGGGGUGGGGAAAAGAAGAAGGGAGGAAGGGCCUCAUCUGUAUCACACACAUACCUCCCACAGGGCACUUUGCCCCGGGCAACAUGGAUCACUCUCCUUCUAAACGCAAGGAAAUGCGCACAAACAGGGCCGCACAGGGAAUAAAUAAAUGGUGCAGGCACCGGCACUGACCCAAUGCAAGACAGGGUGAGCACGACCCAGGUGAGUGGCGGAGGCCCACUGCUCCCACUGUGCCUUCUUCACCAGUGCCUCCUCUCUCUGAUGCUUGACCCCAAGGCUCUUUCUCACACCGACUGGCAGCCCUGUGAUUGGGAGAAAGCCCGGCUCAGGAGGCCCCUUACCGUCCAGCCCAUGUUUCUCCGGGAGGAGAUGUGAUAGAGCAGAAAGAAGGUUGAGGCGCGGUUCACAAGAGCAUGCUUGAGUCCCCACUGCCGCAGUUCCCAGCUGGGUGAUCCUUCUCAGCGUGGUGCCUCAUCCCCGUGGACCUCUGUCUCAUCACCUGCAAAACCCAGGUAGUAAUUGGCUCCUUCAGAAGACUACAUGACAUUAUAUAGAGCAAAAAGUUGUCCCCUUUAGGCCAUGUAACCCAGAUGUUAUUAGGAAAUGUCACAUUACUAAAAGAAUUCCAAAGGGUUGAAUAUGUUUUUUUUUUCUUUUUAAAAUCACAUAAAAAGUAGUUAUUUAAUUGUGCUCUUUCCAGCCUUAGGG